AAAAAAGAAACUAUUUUCUAUAUUUUUAUAUUUCUAUUUUCUCAUUUUAUUACUCAAAAGGCAGGUUCGAAUCUGCAUUCCUAUUAUAUAAAAUAUUAAUGAUCUGCAAAAUAAUUCAAAAUCUGUGUUAAAUCGAUAUCGACUUUCUUAUGACUAUGUAGAAUUUUUGUUAAGGUAUGCUACGCAUAAUAAACUGAAAAACUGUCAGUUCAGUUUAUAUCGUUACACGUAGCAGUCGUGUUAUUAUUCUCUCCGUCAUUUCUUUAUUUUCGUUAUUAAGCUUUUGUUACAUCGUAUCUGACUAUUACUAUCUUGUGAGUAUUUUUUCGAUUUAUUUAUUUUAUUUUUUGGAUUAAAUAAAUCUAAUUCGUGUACAUUAUUUUAUUUUACGAGAAAUAUAUUUUUGAGUAGAAAAAUUACUUUUGCAAGAAAACCAUGGAUCCAAGAAGUGCUAAUCAAAUUAGUUAAUGGAAAAUCAAUAUUAUGCAUAAAGUGAGUUUUCUUAUAAACUAUAUUUUUGAAUGCAUAUGAUGAUAUUUCUAUAAAAGAAUAUUCAAUGAAAAUUAUUUGAUUUGGAUUAAUAUAAAAAUUGAUAAUAAUAGAGUAUGUUUAUAUUUGAUGAAUAAGUUUCUAGUUAUGACUCAUGUUUGAAAAAACAAACAUAAACAUUAAAGAUCGUUUCAUUACCAGAUCUCUCCUUGUGAAAGACAAACGAAUUAUAUUAUGUGUGCUCUAUUAUUUUUCAUACAAAGUAUGAAGAAACUGGACUUUAGAAUUUGUUGUUUAUUUUGUUUAUUAAAGCAGCAUUUAUAAAAUCAGUAACAUGCCAACAUCUAUCGCAGUACGAUAACGCGCGCAUUUUCAAACGUAAAAUCAUGACUAUAACGAGAGUCCAUCGGUUCGAGAGGCUUGGAAACCCACUGGGUUACAGGGAGCUAACAAAAGGAAAGGAGCGGAAUUUCCGGAGGCAAACUGAGUCUCUCUUCUAGAUUCUCGAGCCGGUUUAAACGUGAUUCUCCGCCAACUUUUUCCAUCCCUCCGGUUUUCUCGUUACGAUCCAACCGGCUUCCAUUUCGCGACCACGCCACUGACCCUCUUUCCUGACGCUUUUUAUCUCAUGAUCAUAUCGUAAGAAGUGAACCGUGUUAAAAAGAAUUUCGUGAAGUGUGAUUCUCGAAACAGGUAUGGAUGUUUUUCGGUUUUGUUGAAGUUUUUUUUUUCGAUUAUGAAGAUAGGUAAUUUGUGUGAAAGAUUAAGAUGUAAAGAAAGUGAAAUUAGAUCAAGUGUUAUUUAUACGUUUGGAAAUGUUAAAAUUAAAUUACGAAAAAAUUGAAAUAAUUAUAUAAAUUUGUAACAGAAAUAUAAAAGAUUUUAAUAA